rnacentral:rRNA from 1 species
GCAGACGGGUGAGUAAUGCGUAGGAAUCUACCUAGUAGUACGGAAUAGCCAUUAGAAAUGGUGGGUAAUACUGUAUAAUCCCCGAGGGGGAAAGAUUUAUCGCUAUUAGAUGAGCCUACGUUAGAUUAGCUAGUUGGUGAGGUAAUGGCUUACCAAGGCUAUGAUCUAUAGCUGGUCUGAGAGGACGAUCAGCCACACUGGAACUGAGAUACGGUCCAGACUCCUACGGGAGGCAGCAGUGGGGAAUAUUGGACAAUGGGCGAAAGCCUGAUCCAGCUAUGCCGCGUGAGUGAAGAAGG